rnacentral:piRNA from 1 species
UCCCAUGAUACCAGCAUCUCGUAAUAUGCU